rfam:Halomonas meridiana strain R1t3 scaffold_41, whole genome shotgun sequence.
GUCAACUACCCCCGCCUGAAGGCGGGAGCUUGUGACAACAAGCCCGGUUGACCAGGGAGAGCGGUAGCCAACCCGCCUACGUUGAUAACAGGUCGCCAAGACUCACCCACGGAUGCUUCCUCAGUCCGUGGCUCUGAAAGGUCAAGAUCAUGCUGCGGUACGCCGCCCGGGCGAAAGGUAAAACGCCGAAGAUCUUGAUCGCUGCCACAAGGCAGGAGCCGGUUAUCGACAUUCCCGAGGGGAGAC